AUUGCGUAUAUGAAUACUUAUUAACCAUGUUUCUCCAUUUAAGCUCCAACUCAAAAUUCAAGCAAAAUCAACCAUAUAAACACAUCACAACUGGACCCACAAAAGAUUCACUUAAAAAAGGUAGAAACAAUGAAACAAAAACAAGAACCUGAGCAGCAAAUCGGCUAUACGAAUCUUCACAGACAAUGUUUUUCCAUUUAAGCUCUAACUCAAAAUUCAAUGAAAAUCAACCAUAUAAAUACAUAAUAACUAGACCCCUAAAAG